UACGUAGGGUCCGAGCGUUGUCCGGAAUUCCUGGGCGUAAAGAGCUCGUAGGUGGUUUGUCGCGUUGUUCGUGAAAACUCACAGCUUAACUGUGGGCGUGCGGGCGAUACGGGCAGACUGGAGUACUGCAGGGGAGACUGGAAUUCCUGGUGUAGCGGUGGAAUGCGCAGAUAUCAGGAGGAACACCGGUGGCGAAGGCGGGUCUCUGGGCAGUAACUGACGCUGAGGAGCGAAAGCGUGGGGAGCGAACAGG
rnacentral:rRNA from 1 species